UACGAAGGGUGCAAGCGUUAAUCGGAAUUACUGGGCGUAAAGCGUGCGUAGGCGGUUUCUUAAGUCUGCUGUGAAAGCCCUGGGCUCAACCUGGGAAUUGCGCGCGAAACGGGGGGGCUUGAGUUCGGGAGAGGAGCGUGGAAUUCCCAGUGUAGAGGUGAAAUUCGUAGAUAUUGGGAAGAACACCGGUGGCGAAGGCGGCGCUCUGGACCGAGACUGACGCUGAGGCGCGAAAGCGUGGGGAGCAAACAGG
rnacentral:rRNA from 1 species